AUCCCUUGCCAGGUCCUAAUUAUGAUGAUCGGGGUUUCACGCUUUUGUGUGACGUGUGCUUCCCUUAAAGCUUGUUACGAGGUUGGUGUUUUACCUGUGUGACA
ensembl:snoRNA